GACGAACGCUGGCGGCGUGCUUAACACAUGCAAGUCGAGCGAUGAAGUUCCUUCGGGAAUGGAUUAGCGGCGGACGGGUGAGUAACACGUGGGUAACCUGCCUCCUAGAGGGGAAUAGCCUUUCGAAAGGAAGAUUAAUACCGCAUAAGAUUGUAGUAUCGCAUGAUACAGCAAUUAAAGGAGUAAUCCGCUAUGAGAUGGACCCGCGUCGCAUUAGCUAGUUGGUGAGGUAACGGCUCACCAAGGCGACGAUGCGUAGCCGACCUGAGAGAGUGAUCGGCCACAUUGGGACUGAGACACGGCCCAGACUCCUACGGGAGGCAGCAGUGGGGAAUAUUGCACAAUGGGGGAAACCCUGAUGCAGCAACGCCGCGUGAGUGAUGACGGUCUUCGGAUUGUAAAACUCUGUCUUCAGGGACGAUAAUGACGGUACCUGAGGAGGAAGCCACGGCUAACUACGUGCCAGCAGCCGCAGUAA
rnacentral:rRNA from 1 species